ACGCCUCAAGUUGUCAUACCACUGUUAGAAUUUCUCUCUGAUGAUGGAGAUUUGGAUAAACAGGAAAUCGCAUACAUAAAAGGCUUGGUCUUGAAGCUAGAGGAAGAAUUGCAUACUGUAACAUCUUCAUCCUCCAAAUAAUUACACAUCCCGGCAGUUACAUUUUCGAACUUCUGGUCAAAGUACGAAAUCACUCGAGAAAGUGAUUUCAUUUUCCGUUGCAAAUCAAAUUGGUGGUGCAAUACAAAGACAGUUCGCGGACGCCUUGAAAGUUCAUGUUCAACAGCAAGCGAAUGACGGUUGGAAGAGGAAGCAACUGGAUGUUUGGUCAACCAGCAAAGCAGCUGGUGGCGACAAAGGAAACCUAUAAGGGCUUACCAGUGGAACUUCAAAAUCUACAUGUCAUUAAGAAACAUCAGAUGUUUGUUGGAAUCCUCAAAAGUUCUAAACUCUUCGUACAAAAACAGGAACAACGUGAACUACUUGACAAAAAUGGGGAUUGCAAUAGAGUUUUGGUCUAUGGAACCGACUUGAGACACAAAAAACUAUUUUUGUUGAGCCACGACGAAAAAACGAAUUUACAGAGGCAAUGGAAGGAUUUUAUGAAAACGUUUGCAACCCAGAGAACAAGGGUGCUGUUUCUUGUUGUUUGCUAAAGAAAGGUAUGGUGUCUACUGUAUUUUUUCGACGUAUUAAUACCAAAGUCUUUAAACACAUACAUUUAAGACGGCUUGUCAAGUUUAAAACCUUGUAUAGUAAUAAGCUUGUUGGCGAAUCUGCUAAAAACCUGUCAGAUUUGGUGGAAAUAAGUAAUAAUUUCAUGUCCAGUGUCCGCGAAUAUAAUCCUUGAUUCAAAUCUUUUAGUAUAAGCAAUUAGGUCAGGGUUAGGGUGAGGUUUAGAAUUAAAAGUUAGGAAUAAUUUCGUGCAUCCUGGACAUGAAACAAGCUAUGGACAUGAAACUAUGAUCGAAACAUACAAGUCAAACACAUCCUGAUAACAGACCGUCAAAAAAAUUGAUACGAGCCUCGGAUGUUUUACAAGAAACUCCUGUGUUUCUCACGUUUAGGUAAGCAAAACCGGGAAACGAAGAUUUAACUGUUGAAAUUGACGUUUUCUAUUGUUUUAUGUUUGAGACCGAACGUAUGUGUGCCAGGAUCAGGUGACCAGCUG
rnacentral:misc_RNA from 1 species